rnacentral:lncRNA from 1 species
GGGUGGGCAUGGGGAUCGGGUGUGAUGUGGGCUAAAACUUGAUCGGGACCAGGGAGGUUGGGGAUCAUCCCAGUGUGGUCCGUUUAAAUUUUUAUGGCCAUUUCGGUGGAUAAACGGCUGAAACGGCCCGAGCGAGGCAUUUUCGGGCCAAAUUUAUGUGCUAUAACCCAGAAUUUUGAGGGUGGGCCCGGCGUUCGAAUGUUUUAUCAACUGAAAAUUGACCGAGGAGGGCUAGGGAGGUUGGGGAUCAUCCCCGUGUGGUUUGUUUAAUUUUUUGUUGACAUUUGGGUGGACAAACAGGCAAAACAGCGCGAAUGGGGCAUUUUUGGACCAAAUCGGUGUGCAAUAGGCCACGGUUUUGGGGGUGAGCCCAUGGUCCGGGCGUGCUGU